rnacentral:misc_RNA from 1 species
UUUCCGUAGGUGAACCUGCGGAAGGAUCAUUAUCAUGUAAUUCAGUCCCCUUGGCUGUGUUAUAUAUAUACCCACUCUGUGUACCUUCUCCUGUUGCUUCCGCUGGGUGUGUAAUUCGCCCGGCGGAAGGGUAAAAAUAACCUCUGAGUAUUGAUGAAAUCUCUGUCUGUACCGAAUAGAAAGAAAAAUGUUAAAACUUUCAGCAACGGAUCUCUUGGUUCUC